GGUGAACGCUGGCGGCGUGCCUAAGACAUGCAAGUCGAACGGCAGUCUUCGGACUGUAGUGGCGCACGGGUGAGUAACGCGUAACUGACCUACCCCAAAGUCGCGGAUAACGAUUCGAAAGAAUCGCUAAUACGUGAUGUGCUGUCAGAUUGUGUUCUGCCAGUAAAGAUUGAUUGCUUUGGGAUGGGGUUGCGGUCCAUCAGCUAGUUGGUGGGGUAAAGGCCCACCAAGGCGACGACGGAUAGCCGGCCUGAGAGGGUGGCCGGCCACAGGGGCACUGAGACACGGGUCCCACUCCUACGGGAGGCAGCAGUUAGGAAUCUUCCACAAUGGGCGAAAGCCUGAUGGAGCGACGCCGCGUGAGGGAUGAAGGUCUUCGGAUCGUAAACCUCUGAAUCAGGGACGAAAGACACUUCGGUGGGAUGACGGUACCUGAGUAAUAGCACCGGCUAACUCCGUGCCAGCCGCCGCCGUAA
rnacentral:rRNA from 1 species